AUUGAACGCUGGCGGCAGGCCUAACACAUGCAAGUCGAACGAGUGGCGGACGGGUGAGUAAUGUCUGGGAAACUGCCUGAUGGAGGGGGAUCACUACUGGAAACGGUAGCUAAUACCGCAUACCAUCAGAUGUGCCCAGCUGGGAUUAGCUUGUUGGUGGGGUAACGGCUCACCAAGGCGACGAUCCCUAGCUGGUCGUAGAGGAUGACCAGACAAACUGGAACUGAGACACGGGCCAGACUCCUACGGGAGGCAGCAGUGGGGAAUAUUGCACAAUGGGCGCAAGCCUGAUGCAGCCAUGCCGGGUGUAUGAAGAAGGUCUUCGGGUUGUAAAGUACUUUCAGUGGGGAGGCGUUACCCGCAGAAGAAGCACCGGCUAACUCCGUGCCAGCAGCCGCGGUAAUUC
rnacentral:rRNA from 1 species